UGGACUUUUUGAGCAUUAAGAGGCUGUGAGUGGUGAGGAUUCAGAGCACGAGUUUCUACCAUCAAUAACAAUGGGAUGAAGGCAUGGUGACCGCAGAGCAGGGUUCCUGUCACCGGGAAGGAAGACAGGUGAGAAUUUUCCCUGAGAUAAUAGUGAACAACAUAUCACAAGCACCAAUGUGGAAGUUUCUUUCAUGACGUCAGGUCUUUUGGGAAGCUGAGUCUUUCAGGAGAGCAUUUAAAUCAUGACUUUGUAGCAUGAGAGUGUUAAAACAGCCUUGAAAUGCCUCAGCGGACACUGGCUCCACGCAUGCUGCCCUCAUGUAGGUUGUUACUCACAUCCAGCCUGCUGUCUGGACAAGGCAGUUACUUUUCUGCUUUCUCGACUUCUCUUAUUAAUUCCAUUACCAACUGGGAUGUCAAAUGACAAACGGAGGCAAUAGAAUUCUAUGCUUUAGCUUCUGCCUCGUGUGCAGAUGAGGACAAGUCUCCAGAGAAGCCGUAGUUCCUGCUUCCCUUAUCUUGAGAACCACUUUUCAUGGACGGAGCAUCUUACUAAGCAGAAGGGCGUUUUCACGGCACAGGACACCAUCUUCUUUCUACGAGCACAAAUGACUUUAAUUUCAAGGCUCAUGCUCUUCUCAUCUGUGAUUUUCCUGCAGCAUCUGGCACAGAGACUUGCAUUUUACAGGAGACAUAAAAAUGCAGCUUUAAUUAAGCAUUAAAAGACUUUUAAAAAUUUGUCUAUCAGUAAACUUAGGAUUUGCACACUUUUUUGUGUAUUUAUUGUAAUUCAGUAAGAAAUCUUUCUUUAGAAAAACGUGCCCAGAGAGUAAUCCUUUCUUGAUGUAAAUUUAUUACAUUUCAUUCCUAGAGAAAGGAAUUAUGUGAUGAUUUAAAUGAUUUCCUUCAGUGAAUGAAUGAAUGGAAUGGAAUGAAUAAAUGCAUUAGAAGAAGAAAAAUUCUUUACAAAGAGAUGAUUUUUUAAAUUGAAUGUUGUGU